rnacentral:rRNA from 1 species
AUGAACGCUAGCUACAGGCUUAACACAUGCAAGUCGAGGGAAACGAUAUUGGAAGCUUGCUUCUGAUAGGCGUCGACCGGCGCACGGGUGAGUAACGCGUAUCCAACCUGCCCAUCACUUGGGGAUAACCUUGCGAAAGUAAGACUAAUACCCAAUGACGUCUCUAGAAGACAUCUGAAAGAGAUUAAAGAUUUAUCGGUGAUGGAUGGGGAUGCGUCUGAUUAGCUUGUUGGCGGGGUAACGGCCCACCAAGGCGACGAUCAGUAGGGGUUCUGAGAGGAAGGUCCCCCACAUUGGAACUGAGACACGGUCCAAACUCCUACGGGAGGCAGCAGUGAGGAAUAUUGGUCAAUGGACGAGAGUCUGAACCAGCCAAGUAGCGUGCAGGAUGACGGCCCUAUGGGUUGUAAACUGCUUUUAUAAGGGAAUAAAGUGGGAGUCGUGACUCUUUUUGCAUGUACCUUAUGAAUAAGGACCGGCUAAUUCCGUG